AUUGAACGCUGGCGGCAGGCCUAACACAUGCAAGUCGAACGAGUGGCGGACGGGUGAGUAAUGUCUUGGAAACUGCCUGAUGGAGGGGGAUAACUACUGGAAAAGGUAGCUAAUACCGCAUACCAUCGGAUGUGCACAGAGUGGUUUAGUUAGUAGGUGGGGUAAAGGCUCACCUGGGCGAAGAUCCCUAGCUGGUCUGAGAGGAUGACCAGCCACACUGGAACUGAGACACGGUGCAGAUUCCUACGGGAGGCAGCAGUGGGGAAUAUUGCACAAUGGGCGCAAGCCGUAUGCAGCCAUGCCGCGUGUGUGAAGAAGGCUUUCGGGUUGUAAAGCACUUUCAGCGAGGAGGCGUUACUCGCAGAAGAAGCACCGGCUAACUCCGUGCCAGCCGCCGCGGUAAUAC
rnacentral:rRNA from 1 species